rnacentral:rRNA from 1 species
AGCGAAUAGAUACCCUGGUAGUCCACGCCGUAAACGAUGGAUGCUAGCUGUUAUCAGUAUCGACCCUGGUAGUAGCGAAGCUAACGCGUUAAGCAUCCCGCCUGAGGAGUACGAGCGCUAGCUUAAAACUCAAAGGAAUUGACGGGGACCCGCACAAGCGGUGGAGCGUGUUGUUUAAUUCGAUGGUAAGCGAAGAACCUUACCAAGGUUUGACAUCCUGGGAAAGUUGGUGAAAGCCGACCGUGCCUUCGGGAACCCAGUGACAGGUGAUGCAUGGCCGUCGUCAGCUCGUGUCGUGAGAUGUUUGGUUAAGUCCAUCAACGAGCGCAACCCUUAUAGUCUGUUGUAUUUCUCAGGCUAGACUGCCCCGGUAACGGGGAGGAAGGAGGGGAUGAUGUCAGGUCCGUAUUUCCCUUACACCUUGGGCUACAAACACGCUACAAUGGCCGGUACAAAGGGCUGCCAAGCAGCAAUGCGGAGCAAAUCCCAUCAAAGCCGGUCUCAGCUCGGAUUGUUGGCUGAAACUCGCCAGC